rnacentral:rRNA from 1 species
CCUACGGGUGGCUGCAGUGAGGAAUAUUGGUCAAUGGGCGCGAGUCUGAACCAGCCAAGUAGCGUGAAGGAUGACUGCCCUACGUGUUGUAAACUUCUUUUAUCAAGGAAUAAAGUGAGGCACGUGUGCCUUUUUGUAUGUACUUUAUGAAUAAGGAUCGGCUAACUCCGUGCCAGCAGCCGCGGUAAUACGGAGGAUCCGAGCGUUAUCCGGAUUUAUUGGGUUUAAUGGGAGCGUAGAUGGUUUGUUAAGUCAGUUGUGAAAGUUUGCGGCUCAACCGUAAAAUUGCAAUUGAUACUGGCAGUCUUGAGAACAGUAGAGGUAGGCGGAAUUCGUGGUGUAGCAGUGAAAUGCUUAGAUAUCACGAAGAACUCCGAUUGCGAAGGCAGCUUACUAAACUGCCACUGACAUUGAUGCUCGAAAGUGUGGGUAUCAAACAGGAUUAGAUACCCCAGUAGUC